GCCAAAACGGAAAAUUGGAUCCGGCGGCGAAUCGCGAAUCCAGUGUUCUCCCGUCCGUCGCUCGAUCUAGUCCUGCGCGCCCGCCCCGCCAUAUAUGUGUGUGUGUGUGCAUGCGAGUGUGUGUAUGUGUGCGUGCGUGUGUGUGUGUGUGUCCUCGUGUAUGUGUCGUGCGUGUGAGCGGGUGAAUGUGUGUCCGUGUGUGUCCACGUGUGUGUGUGUGUGUGUGUCGUCCGUGUGAGUUUCUAGGAUAAACGGCCGCCAGGGGCGCGAUCAUUGCCAUCACAUACGCGGCACCAAAACGCACACCCACACACACACACACACACACACACACAGACAAACAAAUGCAUGCAGAUGUACACGAAAGACGGAACAACAUUUAGAACAAAUAAAAGGCAAAUAAUUCUGCAUUGACCAAAUCACUCACAUAGACAGAUCAUACACACAUACAGAUUAGACCCUUCAAUCAAGUUAGUUCUAGAACUUGAAAAUCGUACAUUAUGUAAUCUAACGAACUUGUUUUAGUGAGUUUAGGAUGAAACAAAAACAAAACAAACACAUAUUAAUGAAAUAAAAACAACAAAAAAUAAACAAAAAC